rnacentral:sRNA from 1 species
CUGAUAUAGUAGGUGAGUUUCCAUUCUGUCUUUUAUCCACAGAACAGGAACAGUACAUGCUGCACCAGCACCAGCUCCUUCUUACUGACCUCUCCAACGUGCCUCAAACCUGACCUGAUAGGAACAUUUCUACGGAGAUGGAGCAGUACAGUCUCUGAAUGUCCAUUCAGUCCUUGGCUUCA